rnacentral:rRNA from 1 species
CCUACGGGGUGCUGCAGUGGGGAAUAUUGGACAAUGGGCGAAAGCCUGAUCCAGCCAUGCCGCGUGUGUGAAGAAGGCCUUCGGGUUGUAAAGCACUUUCAGUGGGGAAGAAAGCCUUGGGGCUAAUACCCUCGAGGAAGGACAUCACCCACAGAAGAAGCACCGGCUAACUCCGUGCCAGCAGCCGCGGUAAUACGGAGGGUGCGAGCGUUAAUCGGAAUUACUGGGCGUAAAGCGCGCGUAGGCGGUCUGAUAAGCCGGUUGUGAAAGCCCCGGGCUCAACCUGGGAACGGCAUCCGGAACUGUCAGGCUAGAGUGCAGGAGAGGAAGGUAGAAGUCCCGGUGUAGCGGUGAAAUGCGUAGAGAUCGGGAGGAAUACCAGUGGCGAAGGCGGCCUUCUGGACUGACACUGACGCUGAGGUGCGAAAGCGUGGGUAGCAAACAGGAUUAGAUACCCUAGUAGUC